UUCCGAAUUUUGAACCUCCCCGUCCGCGAAGCUCGCUCGCCCCUCUCUCUCUCUCUCUCUCUCUCUCUCUUUCUCUCGACUCCGAUUUGCCCGUUGGUUUCAAAUUCAAAAACCCUCGCCUUCCUCUUCCUCCGCCUCCUCCUCCUCAAAACCCUAACCCUAAUCCUAACCCAAGCUCGGAUAUGAGCGCCGCCCCUCCUCCCAGCAGCGGGAGGGAGCUCGCCAACCCUCCCUCCGACGGGAUCUCCAACCUGCGCUUCUCCAACCACAGCGACCACCUCCUCGUCUCCUCUUGGGACAAGACGGUUCGGCUCUACGACGCCGGCGCGAACGUACUCAAAGGUGAGUUCGUGCACGGGGGGCCGGUUCUCGACUGCUGCUUCCAUGAUGAUUCCUCUGGGUUCAGUGCUUGCGCCGAUCACACGGUUCGCAGGUAUGUCUUUAGUUCUGGCAAGGAGGAUAUUUUGGGACGACAUGAUGCUCCCGUCCGUUGUGUAGAGUAUUCUUAUGCUGCAGGCCAAGUGAUCACGGGCAGUUGGGAUAAGACAUUGAAGUGCUGGGACCCUAGAGGUGCAAGCGGGCCAGAUCGCACACUUGUUGGAACAUACCAACAACCAGAACGCGUGUAUUCCCUUUCUCUUGUUGGUCAUCACUUGGUUGUUGCAACAGCAGGGCGGCGAGUAAAUGUCUAUGAUCUACGAAACAUGUCCCAACCUGAGCAAAGGAGGGAGUCUUCUUUAAAAUACCAAACCAGAUGUGUUCGUUGCUAUCCUAAUGGGACAGGUUUCGCGCUCAGUUCUGUGGAAGGAAGGGUUGCUAUGGAAUUCUUUGAUUUAUCUGAGGCUGGUCAAGCUAAAAAAUAUGCUUUCAAAUGCCACCGGAAAUCCGAGGCAGGGAGGGACACUGUUUACCCAGUCAAUGCAAUUGCCUUCCAUCCCAUCUACGGGACAUUUGCAACCGGUGGAUGUGACGGUUAUGUGAAUGUGUGGGAUGGUAACAACAAGAAAAGACUAUAUCAGUAUUCAAAAUAUCCGACGAGCAUUGCUGCACUGUCCUUCAGCAGAGAUGGCCGUCUGCUUGCAGUGGCUUCGAGCUACACUUUCGAAGAGGGAGAUAUGCCGCAUGAGCCUGAUGCGAUCUUUGUGCGGAGUGUUAAUGAAGUCGAAGUCAAGCCGAAGCCUAAAGCAUUGCCGACACCCCCUCCCUAGUAGAUUUUACUCGGAAACCGUGCUGCAAUAGUAUAAUGUAGCUCGGCUAAGAAGGUGAAGAUGAUUUCUUAGCGUUCUGUAGUUGUUGAGAAAAGGUGAAAUCGUAAGGGCCUUCUCCGAAGCAUCAUGAGCGCAUUUUGAAACAAUUACACGAACUUUGAAAAUUUUUACUUUACUACCUAACCUUGAUUAUUUACGAAAUACCCCAUCUGAUAAAUCUACUAAAGUCGGGUAGUAUAAUAAAUGACUUUCAAAGCUUAGGUACUUAUUUCAAAAUGCGCUACGCCGCAGGUAAGGUCUAGACUUUUUUUAUCUUGUUUAGAACAUAAAUGUGGUGUCCAUGUAUGUAGUUUAACUUGUCGAUGUUUAAAAUCCCUCUUUUAGGCUUUGCUUCUGCUGUUGUAACUAAGGUGACAGCUUCUUAAGACGCAGAACUUUCGGAAAACUGAGAACAAACUUUUAUAACUCGAUCUGCAAUUGUAGUUCCUUAUCCUGAUUAAACUGUUCCGCGCAGCUUGGAAAUUGUGUAAAUUUUUUGGAUUAUAUUGGUUUGCAGAUUAAAUAGAGCUUAUGCUGGCUUCUUGUUUAGCUUUUU